CAUUCUGGGAAGGACAGAGAGGGACAAUCAUGGUGCGUUCAAGACAACUGGGAACUCUGGGAAAAUGAAAAUAUCUCAGACUGGGAAAAAUCACAACAUCAGUGAUCUUCAAGUCAGAGAAGUUGGAGCUCUAGGAUGAUGCCCGAGUUUCCAACUUGUAAUUCUGAGAUGACCGUUCAAAGUGAUUUUUUCCCAGUCAGCAGAGUUUCCUGUUGUCUUGAACGCACUGAAGUCAGAGACUGUGUUCAUUUUGGCAGCCAUUUUAGAUUUAGUUUGAGUCUGACAAAUAGCUUUUAGUCAUUUUGUCCUUCUUAGUUUCAGUUUUGUCAGUCAACUAAAACUCUGUCUAGUCUAGUUUCAUGCAGUCAUUUUAGUCAAUGCAUUUUCCAUUAAAUCAUUCAUAUAUAGGCUACCUCGAACUUCCAUUAUGUGCAUAUUCAGCCUUGUCCAAAUAGGCUUACUAGUAUACACUGAGUAUACAAAACAUUAGGAACACCUGCUCUUUCCAUGACAUGGACUGACCAGGUGAAAGCUAUGAUCCCUUAUUGAUGUAACUUGUUAAAUCCACUUCAAUCAGCGUAGAUGAAGAGGGAGGAGACAGGUUAAACAAGGAUUUUAAAGGCUUGAGACAUGAAUUGUCUAUGUGUGCCUUUCAGAGGGUGAAUGGGCAAGAUUUAAGUGCCUUUGAACGGGGUAUGGUAGUAGGUGCCAGGCACACCGGUUUGUGCCAAGAACUGCAAUUCUGUUGGGUUUCUAACACUCUGUUUCCUUUGUGUAUCAAGAAACCACCCAAAAGACAUCCAGCCAACUUGACACAACUGUGGAAAGCAUUGGAGUCACCAUGGUCCAGCAUCCCUGUGGAACGCUCCUGACACCUUGAAGAGGGCACGGCACCAACAAAUAACUUAGCUGGCAACAUGGCUAUUGUGUCAGUAACCACAGCCAUCAUUAACCACAGGCUACAAAUACAAAGCCUUGGAUACAGGUUAAAGGUGACAGGCAAAAAGAUUCACAAUUGAGAGCAUCCUGUCGGGCUGUAUCACCUAGUACAGCAACUGCACCGCCCGCAACCCCAGGGCUCUCCAGAGUGUGAUGUGGUCUGCCAAACGCAUCACCAGUGUCAAACUACCUGCCUCUACCUACAGCACCUGAUGUUACAGAUCAGAAAGGACAACAACCACCCGAGCCACUGCCUGUUCACCCUGCUAUCAUCCAAAAGUGGAAGGACCACCAGAGGACAGGCUGGGCUCACGGAUAGUAGCCCAACAAGACAACCAGAGGGCAGGCUGGGCUCACGGAUAGUAGCCCAACAAGGCAACCAGAGGGCAGGCUGGGCUCACGGAUCGUAGCCCAACAAGGCAACCAGAGGGCAGGCUGGGCUCACGGAUAGCAUCCCAACAAGGCAACCAGAGGGCAGGCUGGGCUCAUGGAUAGCAGCCCAACAAGGCAACCAGAGGGCAGGCUGGGCUCAUGGAUAGCAGCCCAACAAGGCAACCAGAGGGCAGGCUGGGCUCAUGGAUAGCAGCCCAACAAGGCAACCAGAGGGCAGGCUGGGCUCAUGGAUAGCAGCCCAACAAGGCAACCAGAGGGCAGGCUGGGCUCACGGAUAGCAGCCCAACAAGGCAUGGGAGACAAGGUAACCAGAGGGCAGGCUGGGCUCACGGAUAGCAGCCCAACAAGGCAACCAGAGGGCAGGCUGAUCUCACAGAUAGCAGCCCAACAAGGCAACCAGAGGGCAGGCUGGGCUCAUGGAUAGCAGCCCAACAAGGCAACCAGAGGGCAGGCUGGGCUCAUGGAUAGCAGCCCAACAAGGCAACCAGAGGGCAGGCUGGGCUCAUGGAUAGCAGCCCAACAAGGCAACCAGAGGGCAGGCUGGGCUCAUGGAUAGCAGCCCAACAAGGCAACCAGAGGGCAGGCUGGGCUCAUGGAUAGCAGCCCAACAAGGCAACCAGAGGGCAGGCUGGGCUCAUGGAUAGCAGCCCAACAAGGCAACCAGAGGGCAGGCUGGGCUCACGGAUAGCAGCCCAACAAGGCAACCAGAGGGCAGGCUGAUCUCACAGAUAGCAGCCCAACAAGGCAACCAGAGGGCAGGCUGGGCUCAUGGAUAGCAGCCCAACAAGGCAACCAGAGGGCAGGCUGGGCUCAUGGAUAGCAGCCCAACAAGGCAACCAGAGGGCAGGCUGGGCUCAUGGAUAGCAGCCCAACAAGGCAUGGGAGACAAGGUAACCAGAGGGCAGGCUGGGCUCAUGGAUAGCAGCCCAACAAGGCAACCAGAGGGCAGGCUGGGCUCAUGGAUAGUAGCCCAACAAGGCAUGGGAGACAAGGUAACCAGAGGGCAGGCUGGGCUCACGGAUAGCAGCCCAACAAGGCAUGGGAGACAAGGCAACCAGAGGGCAGGCUGGGCUCAUGGAUAGCAGCCCAACAAGGCAACCAGAGGGCAGGCUGGGCUCAUGGAUAGUAGCCCAACAAGGCAUGGGAGACAAGGUAACCAGAGGGCAGGCUGGGCUCAUGGAUAGUAGCCCAACAAGGCAUGGGAGACAAGGUAACCAGAGUCAAUUAACUACAGCUGACGGUACUAAUGACAUUCUCCUUCCCCUAUAAGAGAGAGAAUGGAACCAGCAGAGAGGAGGGGGGGAAAACUAUCUCUGGAAGAUGGCCACCGAGAGAUAGAAGCCAUCCAUGAAGAACCACUAAGAUGGUGACAAUCCCGUGACUUUUGUUGUAGUUUAAAGAGAAUCCUAUUGUGUUCCUGUUUCAUCUGGAGAAGAAGAUGCAUGUUUUUCCUUGGGAGAUUUCCAUUGAUUAUGUUGGAGUGUUUGUGUUGACCAAAUGCCCUCAAUAGAGAACUGUGUUCAAUCAAGAAAACCUACUCCUGACUUGUUUAUUCCACCUUUCCUCUUUCGAGAGAUGCCCAAUGACUUGGUCCGCCCACACUGCAUACGAGUCAUCAUUAUUGACUUACAUGUGUAUUUCUUCAGAUAUACGAGUGUCUAAUGGCUUCGUUUCUGAUAGAGAAAACGACUCAUACAAGCCCUGUCUGUAGCUUGUGUUCCUUUGCAGUUGACCACUGGCCUAUUCAUUAAGCCCUCAAAUUAUGUAUUUUUCUGGCCAGAGAAUGACAUCCUUAUUUUAUUUUACCUUUAUUUAACUGGGCAAGUCAGUUAAGAACAAAUUCUUAUUUUCAAUGACGGCCUAGGAACAGUUAUUUAAUGAAGCCUAAAAUAUAAUAAUUAUUCAGCGUCACAGUUUGUGGGGGAGACCUUUGCCCGUCACCUUAUCAGUUUACAGCUGAUUGUCCCCCCAUCAUACCAGGGUUAAAUAGCAUUGGAUCAGUUUACAGCUGAUUGUCCCCCAUCAUACCAGGGUUAAAUAGCAUUGGAUCAGUUUACAGCUGAUUGUCCCCCAUCAUACCAGGGUUAAAUAGCAUUGGAUCAGUUUACAGCUGAUUGUCCCCCCCAUCAUACCAGCCGUUAGGGGGUUAAAUAGCAUUGGAUCAGUUUACAGCUGAUUGUCCCCCAUCAUACCAGCCAUUAGGGGGUUAAAUAGCAUUGGAUCAGUUUACAGCUGAUUGUCCCCCCCAUCAUACCAGGGUUAAAUAGCAUUGGAUCAGUUUACAGCUGAUUGUCCCCCAUCAUACCAGGGUUAAAUAGCAUUGGAUCAGUUUACAGCUGAUUGUCCCCCAUCAUACCAGCCGUAGGGGGUUAAAUAGCAUUGGAUCAGUUUACAGCUGAUUGUCCCCCAUCAUACCAGCCAUUAGGGGUUAAAUAGCAUUGGAUCAGUUUACAGCUGAUUGUCCCCCCAUCAUACCAGGGUUAAAUAGCAUUGGAUCAGUUUACAGCUGAUUGUCCCCCAUCAUACCAGCCGUUAGGGGUUAAAUAG